UACAGAGGUCCCAAGCGUUGUUCGGAUUCAUUGGGCGUAAAGGGUGCGUAGGUGGCGCGCUAAGUCAGGUGUGAAAUCUCGGGGCUUAACUCCGAAACUGCAUUUGAUACUGGCGUGCUUGAGGACUGGAGAGGAGACUGGAAUUCAUGGUGUAGCAGUGAAAUGCGUAGAGAUCAUGAGGAAGACCAGUGGCGAAGGCGGGUCUCUGGACAGUUCCUGACACUGAGGCACGAAGGCCAGGGGAGCGAACGGG
rnacentral:rRNA from 1 species